ACCUUCGUGAUGUAAUUGGUAGCACGUCCGGCUGACAAUCGGAAGAUCCAGAGUUCGAAUCCCUGAAAAGGCA
rnacentral:tRNA from 1 species